rnacentral:rRNA from 1 species
GCUUGUCUCAAAGAUUAAGCCAUGCAUGUCUAAGUAUAAACGACUUUAUACUGUGAAACUGCGAAUGGCUCAUUAUAUCAGUUAUAGUUUAUUUGUUGGUCCUUGCUACUUGGAUAACCGUAGUAAUUCUAGAGCUAAUACAUGCAUUAAAUCCCGACUUCUGGAAGCGGUGUAUUUAUUAGAUGGAAACCAAUGCGGGGUAACCCGGAAUAUGGUGAUUCAUAAUAACUUUCGGAUCGAUUUAUCGAUGCAUCAUUCAAGUUUCUGCUCUAUCAGCUUUGGAUGGUAGGGUAUUGGCCUACCAUGGCUUUAACAGGUAACGGAGAAUUACGGUUCGAUUCCGGAGAGGGAGCCUGAGAAAUGGCUACCAUAUCCAAGGAAGGCAGCAGG